rnacentral:rRNA from 1 species
AGCGAACGCUGGCGGCAGGCCUAACACAUGCAAGUCGAACGAAGUCUUCGGACUUAGUGGCGGACGGGUGAGUAACACGUGGGAACGUACCUUUUGGUUCGGAACAACUCAGGGAAACUUGAGCUAAUACCGGAUGAGCCCUUAGGGGGAAAGAUUUAUCGCCGAAAGAGCGGCCCGCGUUAGAUUAGCUAGUUGGUGAGGUAAAGGCUCACCAAGGCUACGAUCUAUAGCUGGUCUGAGAGGAUGAUCAGCCACACUGGGACUGAGACACGGCCCAGACUCCUACGGGAGGCAGCAGUGGGGAAUCUUGCGCAAUGGGCGAAAGCCUGACGCAGCCAUGCCGCGUGAAUGAUGAAGGUCUUAGGAUUGUAAAGUUCUUUUACCAGGACGAUAAUGACGGUACCUGGAGAAAAAGCCCCGGCUAACUUCGUGCCAGCAGCCGCAGUAAGAC